CAAAAGAAUUUCAAGAUAAUGCAAUCCAGGAGACACACAAUGGCAUGAACCCACAGGGGAAUCAAGCUUCUCUUGGCCAAUGCCGGCAGUACUUGUUCUGUAGCCAAGGGGAAGAACUGUGGGACGACUAUAUGGUCAUCACAAACGGAAUGGAGAGAAAAUACUGCCACUUCAGAAUGACAAAGCCUAAGGGUACCGCAAACUGCACCCGAAACUCCACUGUGACUCUGACUAAUGACACUUGUCUGCUCUUGGACACAGCGGAUAUAAAGGAUGGCACUUUGACUUUGGAAUAUGGCAAAGGACACAAGGGGCAGUUUGCACACUCCUCGCUCAUAGGGUUGUGCGAUGUUGGGAGAUAUGAACCUGAUGCCAGUGGGUUGGUUCGCCCAUCACCAAAUGGAGUUGUUGGAGGCACCUUGAUGGUAGUGUUAUACCUUAUACUUUGGAUAUAAGAAAUACAUUAAAAGGAACCAAUCACGAGGCUCCUCUAAGCGUGUGGAACGCUCUGAGAAUGAGAGAAAUGGACACGUACCCACUGAGGACAUUGAAAUGGGAGGCUAAGGAGAAGAAGAUGGAGAAGACAUGGCCCAGACAGUAGAAUUAUUAAAUUCUGAUGCUAAUUGCACUGGUUUCUGUGCUGCCAUGUAGUAAUUAUCUGUAUUAAUUACUAA